GAUGAACGCUGGCGGCGUGCCUAAUACAUGCAAGUCGAGCGAACAGACGAGAGUGCUUGCACUCUCUGACGUUAGCGGCGGACGGGUGAGUAACACGUGGGUAACCUACCUAUAAGACUGGGAUAACUUCGGGAAACCGGAGCUAAUACCGGAUAAUAUUUAGCUUCGCAUGAAGCAAUAGUGAAAGACGGUUCUGCUGUCACUUAUAGAUGGACCCGCGGUGUAUUAGCUAGUUGGUGAGGUAACGGCUCACCAAGGCAACGAUACAUAGCCGACCUGAGAGGGUGAUCGGCCACACUGGGACUGAGACACGGCCCAGACUCCUACGGGAGGCAGCAGUAGGGAAUCUUCCGCAAUGGACGAAAGUCUGACGGAGCAAUGCCGCGUGAGUGAAGAAGGUUUUCGGAUCGUAAAACUCUGUUGUAAGGGAAGAACAAGUACGUUAGUAACUGAACGUACCUUGACGGUACCUGAUCAGAAAGCCACGGCUAACUACGUG
rnacentral:rRNA from 1 species